UACAGAGGUCUCAAGCGUUGUUCGGAUUCAUUGGGCGUAAAGGGUGCGUAGGCGGCGCGGUAAGUCGGGUGUGAAAUCUCGGAGCUUAACUCCGAAACUGCCUUUGAUACUGAAGAUCUUGAGUUCGGGAGAGGUGAGUGGAACUGCGAGUGUAGAGGUGAAAUUCGUAGAUAUUCGCAAGAACACCAGUGGCGAAGGCGGCUCACUGGCCCGAUACUGACGCUGAGGCACGAAAGCGUGGGGAGCAAACAGG
rnacentral:rRNA from 1 species